rnacentral:rRNA from 1 species
GACAGAGGUCCCAAGCGUUAGGCGGAAUCACUGGGCUUAAAGCGUGUGUAGGCGGACUUCUAAGUACCUUGUGAAAUCCCACGGCUCAACCGUGGAACUGCUUGGUAUACUGGUUGUCUUGGGCCAUCUAGGGGCUAGCGGAACAAACGGUGGAGCGGUGAAAUGCGUAGAUAUCGUUUGGAACGCCAAUGGUGAAAACAGCUAGCUGGGGAUGUGCCGACGCUGAGACACGAAAGCGUGGGGAGCGAACAGG